rnacentral:rRNA from 1 species
AGAUUGAACGCUGGCGGAAUGCUUUACACAUGCAAGUCGAGCGGCAGCGCGGGGCAACCUGGCGGCGAGCGGCGAACGGGUGAGUAAUGCAUCGGAACGUGUCCAUGUCGUGGGGGAUAGCCCGGCGAAAGCCGGAUUAAUACCGCAUACGCCCGAGAGGGGAAAGUGGGGGACCGCAAGGCCUCACGCGAUUGGAUCGGCCGAUGUCCGAUUAGCUAGUUGGCGGGGUAAAGCCCACCAAGGCGAUGAUCGGUAGCUGGUCUGAGAGGAUGGAUCAGCCACACUGGGACUGAGACACGGCCCAGACUCCUACGGGAGGCAGCAGUGGGAAUUUUGGACAAGUGGGGGCAACCCGUGAUCCAGCCAUUCCGCGUGAGUGAGAAGGCCUGGUUGUAAGCUACGUUUGUCCGGAACGUAACGGUAGCGUGAAGUAUCGCUGCCUAGUGACGGUACGAAGAUAGCACG